GGGUUGUGAGGUUAAGCGACUAAGCGUACACGGUGGAUGCCCUGGCAGUCAGAGGCGAUGAAGGACGUGCUAAUCUGCGAUAAGCGUCGGUAAGGUGAUAUGAACCGUUAUAACCGGCGAUUUCCGAAUGGGGAAACCCAGUGUGAUUCGUCACACUAUCAUUAACUGAAUCCAUAGGUUAAUGAGGCGAACCGGGGGAACUGAAACAUCUAAGUACCCCGAGGAAAAGAAAUCAACCGAGAUUCCCCCAGUAGCGGCGAGCGAACGGGGAGGAGCCCAGAGCCUGAAUCAGUGUGUGUGUUAGUGGAAGCGUCUGGAAAGGCGCGCGAUACAGGGUGACAGCCCCGUACACAAAAAUGCACAUGCUGUGAGCUCGAUGAGUAGGGCGGGACACGUGGUAUCCUGUCUGAAUAUGGGGGGACCAUCCUCCAAGGCUAAAUACUCCUGACUGACCGAUAGUGAACCAGUACCGUGAGGGAAAGGCGAAAAGAACCCCGGCGAGGGGAGUGAAAAAGAACCUGAAACCGUGUACGUACAAGCAGUGGGAGCACAGAGCAAUCUGUGUGACUGCGUACCUUUUGUAUAAUGGGUCAGCGACUUAUAUUCUGUAGCAAGGUUAACCGAAUAGGGGAGCCGAAGGGAAACCGAGUCUUAACUGGGCGUUAAGUUGCAGGGUAUAGACCCGAAACCCGGUGAUCUAGCCAUUGGCAGGUUGAAGGUUGGGUAACACUAACUGGAGGACCGAACCGACUAAUGUUGAAAAAUUAGCGGAUGACUUGUGGCUGGGGGUGAAAGGCCAAUCAAACCGGGAGAUAGCUGGUUCUCCCCGAAAGCUAUUUAGGUAGCGCCUCGUGAAUUCAUCUCCGGGGGUAGAGCACUGUUUCGGCAAGGGGGUCAUCCCGACUUACCAACCCGAUGCAAACUGCGAAUACCGGAGAAUGUUAUCACGGGAGACACACGGCGGGUGCUAACGUCCGUCGUGAAGAGGGAAACAACCCAGACCGCCAGCUAAGGUCCCAAAGUCAUGGUUAAGUGGGAAACGAUGUGGGAAGGCCCAGACAGCCAGGAUGUUGGCUUAGAAGCAGCCAUCAUUUAAAGAAAGCGUAAUAGCUCACUGGUCGAGUCGGCCUGCGCGGAAGAUGUAACGGGGCUAAACCAUGCACCGAAGCUGCGGCAGCGACACUGUGUGUUGUUGGGUAGGGGAGCGUUCUGUAAGCCUGUGAAGGUGUGCUGUGAGGCAUGCUGGAGGUAUCAGAAGUGCGAAUGCUGACAUAAGUAACGAUAAAGCGGGUGAAAAGCCCGCUCGCCGGAAGACCAAGGGUUCCUGUCCAACGUUAAUCGGGGCAGGGUGAGUCGACCCCUAAGGCGAGGCCGAAAGGCGUAGUCGAUGGGAAACAGGUUAAUAUUCCUGUACUUGGUGUUACUGCGAAGGGGGGACGGAGAAGGCUAUGUUGGCCGGGCGACGGUUGUCCCGGUUUAAGCGUGUAGGCUGGUUUUCCAGGCAAAUCCGGAAAAUCAAGGCUGAGGCGUGAUGACGAGGCACUACGGUGCUGAAGCAACAAAUGCCCUGCUUCCAGGAAAAGCCUCUAAGCAUCAGGUAACAUCAAAUCGUACCCCAAACCGACACAGGUGGUCAGGUAGAGAAUACCAAGGCGCUUGAGAGAACUCGGGUGAAGGAACUAGGCAAAAUGGUGCCGUAACUUCGGGAGAAGGCACGCUGAUAUGUAGGUGAAGUCCCUCGCGGAUGGAGCUGAAAUCAGUCGAAGAUACCAGCUGGCUGCAACUGUUUAUUAAAAACACAGCACUGUGCAAACACGAAAGUGGACGUAUACGGUGUGACGCCUGCCCGGUGCCGGAAGGUUAAUUGAUGGGGUCAGCGCAAGCGAAGCUCUUGAUCGAAGCCCCGGUAAACGGCGGCCGUAACUAUAACGGUCCUAAGGUAGCGAAAUUCCUUGUCGGGUAAGUUCCGACCUGCACGAAUGGCGUAAUGAUGGCCAGGCUGUCUCCACCCGAGACUCAGUGAAAUUGAACUCGCUGUGAAGAUGCAGUGUACCCGCGGCAAGACGGAAAGACCCCGUGAACCUUUACUAUAGCUUGACACUGAACAUUGAGCCUUGAUGUGUAGGAUAGGUGGGAGGCUUUGAAGUGUGGACGCCAGUCUGCAUGGAGCCGACCUUGAAAUACCACCCUUUAAUGUUUGAUGUUCUAACGUGGACCCGUGAUCCGGGUUGCGGACAGUGUCUGGUGGGUAGUUUGACUGGGGCGGUCUCCUCCUAAAGAGUAACGGAGGAGCACGAAGGUUGGCUAAUCCUGGUCGGACAUCAGGAGGUUAGUGCAAUGGCAUAAGCCAGCUUGACUGCGAGCGUGACGGCGCGAGCAGGUGCGAAAGCAGGUCAUAGUGAUCCGGUGGUUCUGAAUGGAAGGGCCAUCGCUCAACGGAUAAAAGGUACUCCGGGGAUAACAGGCUGAUACCGCCCAAGAGUUCAUAUCGACGGCGGUGUUUGGCACCUCGAUGUCGGCUCAUCACAUCCUGGGGCUGAAGUAGGUCCCAAGGGUAUGGCUGUUCGCCAUUUAAAGUGGUACGCGAGCUGGGUUUAGAACGUCGUGAGACAGUUCGGUCCCUAUCUGCCGUGGGCGCUGGAGAACUGAGGGGGGCUGCUCCUAGUACGAGAGGACCGGAGUGGACGCAUCACUGGUGUUCGGGUUGUCAUGCCAAUGGCACUGCCCGGUAGCUAAAUGCGGAAGAGAUAAGUGCUGAAAGCAUCUAAGCACGAAACUUGCCCCGAGAUGAGUUCUCCCUGACCCUUUAAGGGUCCUGAAGGAACGUUGAAGACGACGACGUUGAUAGGCCGGGUGUGUAAGCGCAGCGAUGCGUUGAGCUAACCGGUACUAAUGAACCGUGAGGCUUAACCUUACAACGCCGAAGGUGUUU
rnacentral:rRNA from 1 species